GCAUAACGCGAAGAACCUUACCACCUUUUGACAUGCCUGGACCGCCACGGAGACGUGGCUUUCUCUUCGGAGACUAGGACACAGGUGCUGCAUGGCUGUCGUCAGCUCGUGUCGUGAGAUGUUGGGUUAAGUCCCGCAACGAGCGCAACCCUUGUCGUUAAUUGCCAUCAUUUGGUUGGGCACUUUAACGAGACUGCCGGUGACAAACCGGAGGAAGGUGGGGACGACGUCAAAUCAUCAUGCCCCUUAUGUCCUGGGCCACACACGUAAUACAAUGGCGUUAAACAGGGGGAUGCGAAGCCGUGAGGUGGAGCGAACCCCUAAAAGGCGUCUCAGUUCGGAUCGCAGGCUGCAACUCGCCUGCGUGAAGUCGGAGUCGCUAGUAAUCGCGGAUCAGCAUGCCGCGGUGAAUACGUU
rnacentral:rRNA from 1 species